AUGGAGGUCGAGAUCAAGCUCCGUCUCCCCGGCGCGGCUGCACACCAGCGCCUCUCCUCCUUCCUCGCGCCCCGCCUGCUCCGCACCGAUGCCCCAGCGCGGCCCCUCGCCGCCGCCACCACCGCCCAGCGGGACGUCCGCCUCUACGGCACCGACGACCGCGACCCCUCCCGCGCCGUCCUCACGCUCAAGCGCCGCCCGCGCAUCGACGCCGGCGUCAGCCGCGUUGAGGAGGUCGUGGAGCCCCUCGACCCCGCCCUCGCCCUCACCUGCGUCGACAACCCCGCCCGUCUCGGCGCGGUCGACUCCCCCAUCGUCCGGCUCGUCUCCGACGAGUACGGCGUCGGCGGGGACAAAGCGCCGUUCGUCUGCCUCGGCGGCUUCUGGAACACCCGCGGUGUGUAUGAGCUCGAGGAGGGCGAGGGGAAGGGGCUCGUGCUAGAGCUCGACGAGACACACUUCGAUUUCGGCACAAACUACGAGCUGGAGUGCGAGACCGCGGAGCCCGACCAGGCCAAGGAGGUCCUGGAGCGGCUGCUCACCGUGGCUGGGGUGCCGUAUGAGUACUCCCGGAGCAAUAAGUUCGCGUGCUUCAUGGCCGGGAAGCUGCUUCCGUGA
rnacentral:rRNA from 1 species